UACAGAGGUCCCAAGCGUUGUUCGGAUUCAUUGGGCGUAAAGGGUGCGUAGGUGGCGCCGUAAGUCGGGUGUGAAAUUUCGGAGCUUAACUCCGAAACUGCAUUCGAUACUGCGGUGCUCGAGGACUGGAGAGGAGACUGGAAUUCAUGGUGUAGCGGUGAAAUGCGUAGAUAUCGUAAGGAAGACCAGUGGCGAAGGCGGGUCUCUGGACAGUUCCUGACGCUGAGGCACGAAGGCCAGGGGAGCAAACGGG
rnacentral:rRNA from 1 species